rnacentral:rRNA from 1 species
GACGAACGCUGGCGGCGUGCCUAAUACAUGCAAGUAGAACGCUGAAGGAGGAGCUUGCUUCUCUGGAUGAGUUGCGAACGGGUGAGUAACGCGUAGGUAACCUGCCUGGUAGCGGGGGAUAACUAUUGGAAACGAUAGCUAAUACCGCAUAACAGUAGAUGUUGCAUGACAUUUGCUUAAAGGUGCAAUUGCAUCACUACCAGAUGGACCUGCGUUGUAUUAGCUAGUUGGUGAGGUAACGGCUCACCAAGGCGACGAUACAUAGCCGACCUGAGAGGGUGAUCGGCCACACUGGGACUGAGACACGGCCCAGACUCCUACGGGAGGCAGCAGUAGGGAAUCUUCGGCAAUGGACGGAAGUCUGACCGAGCAACGCCGCGUGAGUGAAGAAGGUGUUCGGAUCGUAAUAGCUCUGUUGUAAGAGAAGAACGAGUGUGAGAGUGGUAAGUUCACACUGUGACGGUAUCUACCAGAAA